CUUUUUAGAUCAUUGCUCGUAAAAAGGAUACUGGUUCUUUCUCAACUGGAGUGGGAACGCCUGAAUACAAGAGACCUCGUUAUUAAAAAGUUCCAGUAUCAUCUGGUAUAUAUGCCUAUUUCAAAUAUAUAUUCUCUUUGUAUUUACUCAUAUGUCAAUGUCUGUAUAUAUAUUAAUCUGAAAUAAAUUAAUGAUAUUAGUCUGA